UGGGGAAUAUUGGACAAUGGGGGAAACCCUGAUCCAGCAAUGCCGCGUGUGUGAAGAAGGCCUUCGGGUUGUAAAGCACUUUCAGUGGGGAGGAAAAACUCAGCGCUAAUACCGUUGAGUGUUGACGUUACCCACAGAAGAAGCACCGGCUAACUCUGUGCCAGCAGCCGCGGUAAUACAGAGGGUGCGAGCGUUAAUCGGAAUUACUGGGCGUAAAGCGUGCGUAGGUGGAUACCUAAGUCGAAUGUGAAAUCCCCGGGCUUAACCUGGGAACUGCAUCCGAUACUGGGUAUCUGGAGUAUGGUAGAGGAAAGUGGAAUUCCCGGUGUAGCGGUGAAAUGCGUAGAUAUCGGGAGGAACAUCAGUGGCGAAGGCGACUUUCUGGACCAAUACUGACACUGAGGCACGAAAGCGUGGGGAGCAAACAGG
rnacentral:rRNA from 1 species